GUGAAUUUAGUUUAACAGAAAAAACAUUUGCUUUGCAAGUAAAAUUUGGAGGUUUAAAUCCUUCAAUCCACA
rnacentral:tRNA from 1 species